GGCUGACACUGUACUGUAGACUCCAUACAUGUAUAUUGAGGAUGUGGGGAAGGGGAAACUUUAUAGAGUUGCAUAAAACUGUGACAGCACAAGGUACACAAAGUAACACAAUUUGUAGCUAGCUACCAGUUGCACACAACACAAGAUAUGGAUCUCAACUUUUCACUUUGCUUGGCUGUUCUACUGAUUCUACGAGUCUCCGUAACUUUUGCUUAUCAUACUAGCUGGAGUCCAUCAAGUAUACUCCUGAUAAUAGCGAGAGUCCAUCAAGUACUCCGGAUAAUAGCGAGAGUCCAUCAAGUACUCCGGAUAAUAGCGAGAGUCCAUCAAGUACUCCUGAUAACAACACACACACUGAAGGUCCCCUGCUCUACACUAUGCAACCAGUGAGCCAAUAUUCUUGCAACCCGUACAUUGAUGGACCUAAGCAACUAUAAUCUGUGCCCUCUACCAGCGUGGAGGUCUAUCCAAUCACACCAUCCGCUGGUUUAGAAGCUCUAACAACUCCGGUAAUAUUGAAAGCUAUUGACCCCUCAGAGUAGGUAAUGAGGCCAUUAUCCACGGCCGGGAGGUCAUCACAAACAGCUAUAUAAACAUAAUUAUGGACAACAUAAAUAAAAGCUUGAUAAUACAGCAGAGUUGCUAUAGUUACAUUCCCCUUAGGUUAGAAUUGGCUCUGUAACUAGAGUUCUGCGAUUCACUCAACAAUUUUCUGAAAACUUAUAGAAGGAGCCAAUUUAGAACGGGCCAGAAAAAAACCUGUCAAAAAAACAUGCCAUCUAAAAGCCUGCAUGCUUCUAAGCCUUCAAUAAAGAGUUCCACAGAAUGUGUAUACAGCUAUUAAAUAACCAUUAUACUAAUAGCUGCUUUCUGUAGAACUCUUUACCUAGCACAUGCAGUUGUAUGUAUAGCCUCGAUUCCAGGCCGCACUGAUGAGGCCUUGUGAAGGAGGCUAUGUUGUAUUAGAUCUAGUUCUCUCAUUAGUUUAAAGCACUCUAAUCUCACCUAUAAUACCUUAAUUAUUGACCUCUCAUUAUUAUAGCAGUAGAUCUAUUUAUAUUUGUGUUUUGGGGAGCACCCUUGAGAGGCCUACAGCCUAUUGUGCUUCCCUUCCUUUGCUGGAUAAAACAUCAUUCAGAGGCCUAGCAGCCUAUUGUGCUUCCCUUCCUUUGCUGGAUAAAAUAUCAUUCAUUCAUUCAUCACUUUCAGUUACAAUAUACAUUGUGACUGUGAGACUUUGAGUUCUAACACAUGACAUGUCUAUAAAAGUAGUUUAGAUGAUCUACAGAGUUAGAGGUAAGAUAUAUAGAGCUAGCUAUAGACUGCAUGUAUGCUAUGAUAGGGCUUCACCAAUUCUUGCUGUGUACACUGCUGCCUCUAGCUCUCUGCUGUAGAGAACAUGACCAGAGCUACAGAGUGGAUGAGGCAAGGGAGGAGGAUAGAUCUAGUACUCCCUGUCUCUACAAUCCUACUGAUACAUCUCUCAACCUUGGUGAUCUGCGAAGAUGGCUAACAUCUGUCACGUCUGAGUUUAGCCACACUUACGUUACUCCUGACGAUGGUACCACAAUGUUUAGGGAAUCUUCCAUCUUUAAAGCUGAUGUUGCUUUCGCUUCGUCUGGAAUUAAACCGAAACAGAUAUGGACGAACAAUUCUCCUUGUUGUAUCCCGUUAUUCUUGGACAAAUUCAAACCUUCUGCUUUUUCAUCUUUCACAAUAUAUGUUAGCCAUAUCUCAUCCAUGGGGAGUGCUAAUGAGCUAGAAUGUAUGGCGAAGUUGGUUGCUAACAACAUCAAAGUCGUGAGCAUGGAUUGGGAGAAGUUUGCUAAUUCCUUGACCAAGAAUUGCAAAGAAGAAAUCAUGAGCACUCUCCACAGUAAUGCAAACUUCAAAGAAGCUCAAGAAGUUCUCGAUAAACAGAUUCAGCUGAUAAAUUACUUGAGUACAAGGCCGACUGUUAGUCAGUUUUGUAAGUAGCUUAAUUUGAGGUUGUUUUUAAUUGAUCUGCUUUUGCAUUCACAAAAAUUGUAAUAAAAAUGUACUAAGCUA